rnacentral:misc_RNA from 1 species
GAUGAAGAACGCAGUGAAAUGCGAUAAGUAAUGUGAAUUGCAGAAUUCAGUGAAUCAUCGAAUCUUUGAACGCACAUUGCGCCCCUUGGUAUUCCGAGGGGCAUGCCUGUUCGAGCGUCAUUUAAACCAAUCUAGCUUGCUAGGUCUUGGGCUUUCGCCUCUGGGCGGGCCUCAAAAUCAGUGGCGGUGCUGCCGGGCUUUAAGCGUAGUAAUCUUUCUCGCUAUAGGGUCCUGGUAGAGGCUUGCCAACAACUAUAAAUCUUUCAAAGGUUGACCUCGGAUCAGGUAGGGAUACCCGCUGAACUUAAGCAUAUCAAUAAGCGGAGGA